rnacentral:rRNA from 1 species
CUGCCGGUGAUAAGCCGGAGGAAGGUGGGGAUGACGUCAAGUCCUCAUGGCCCUUACAGGCUGGGCUACACACGUGCUACAAUGGCAUCUACAGUGGGCAGCUAUUCCGCAAGGAUGCGCUAAUCUCCAAAAGAUGUCUCAGUUCGGAUUGUCCUCUGCAACUCGAGGGCAUGAAGGCGGAAUCGCUAGUAAUCGCGGAUCAGCAUGCCGCGGUGAAUACGUUCCCAGGCCUU